UACGGGGGAGGCAAGCGUUGUUCGGAAUUACUGGGCGUAAAGGGCUCGUAGGUGGCCAACUAAGUCAGACGUGAAAUCCCUCGGCUUAACCGGGGAACUGCGUCUGAUACUGGAUGGCUUGAGUUCGGGAGAGGGAUGCGGAAUUCCAGGUGUAGCGGUGAAAUGCGUAGAUAUCUGGAGGAACACCGGUGGCGAAGGCGGCAUCCUGGACCGACACUGACGCUGAGGAGCGAAAGCGUGGGGAGCAAACAGG
rnacentral:rRNA from 1 species